rnacentral:rRNA from 1 species
AGUGAACGCUGGCGGUAGGCCUAACACAUGCAAGUCGAACGGCAGCACAGUAAGAGCUUGCUCUUACGGGUGGCGAGUGGCGGACGGGUGAGGAAUACAUCGGAAUCUACUUUUUCGUGGGGGAUAACGUAGGGAAACUUACGCUAAUACCGCAUACGACCUACGGGUGAAAUCAGGGGAUCUUCGGACCUUGCGCGAUUGAAUGAGCCGAUGUCGGAUUAGCUAGUUGGCGGGGUAAAGGCCCACCAAGGCGACGAUCCGUAGCUGGUCUGAGAGGAUGAUCAGCCACACUGGAACUGAGACACGGUCCAGACUCCUACGGGAGGCAGCAGUGGGGAAUAUUGGACAAUGGGCGCAAGCCUGAUCCAGCCAUACCGCGUGGGUGAAGAAGGCCUUCGGGUUGUAAAGCCCUGUUGUUGGGAAAGAAAAGCAGCAGGUUAAUACCCCGCUGUUCUGACGGUACCCAAAGAAUAAGCACCGGCUAACUUCGUG